CAACUAGAAAGCCUGCACUACAGAACAUCCUUGGCAAAAUAUUCCAUGAGGAGAAAAUGAAAAACAACAAUGAAAGUCAGAAGAGGUAGGUAUUACACUAAAGGAAAAACCUACCAAAGAGAAACCAAGUCAAGAUAAAUGCAAAAAAUAGACAAAAAUAACUGGGAAUACCAAUCAUGUCUCAAUAGUAACCCUGAAUGUUAAUUUCCAAAACUCAGCAAUCAAAAGACAGACUGGCAGAUUGGAUAAAAAAAAAGACCCAACAAUAUGCUGCCUUCCAGAGAUUCAUGUCAUAGGAAAAGACAUCCACAGAGUGAAGGUGACAGGUUGGGAAAAAACAUAUCACUUGGGAGCUGGGGUUGUGGCUCAGUGGGAGUACACUAGCCAAGCAUGUGCAAGGCCCUGGGUUCGAUUCUCAGCACCACAUAAAAAUAAUAAAGGUAUUGUGUCCAACUAAAAAAUAAACAGUAAAAAAAACAUUCAUCAGGCUGGGGCUCAGGGGUAGAGCGCUCACCUAGCACGUGUCAGGCCCUGGGUUUGAUCCUCAGCACCACAUAAAAAUAAAUAAAGGUAUUGUGUCCAUCUACAACUAAAAAAUGAAUAUUAAAAAACAUACCACUCAGACUGUGGAAGCAAGCAGAGGUUUCCAUCCAAAUCAAGUAAUGUGGACUUCAAGUGAAAAUUAAUCAGAAGGGACAAACAAUAAUAUUUCAUACUCCUCAAGGGAGCCAUACACCAACAAGAGAUAACAAUUAUAAAUAUCAUCCCCUAAAGAAUGGAGCAUCUAUGUUCAUCAUACAAACUCUUCAUCAUUUCAAGAGUCAAAUAGAUCACAAUACAAUAAUUCUAGGUGACUUUAAACAUCUCUGGAUAGAUCUUCCAAACAAAAGCUUACAGAGAAAUUAUAGAACUCAAUAAGACAAUUAAUAUCUUAGAUUUAACAUAUAUAGAAUAUUUCAUCCUUCAACAAGUGAAUGCACAUUCUUCUCAGCAGCACAUGGAUCCUUCUCUAAAAUAGACCAUAUACUUUGCCAUAGGGCAACUCUUAGCAAAUAAAAAGGAGUAGAGAUACUACCCUGCAUUCUAUCAGAUCAUAAUGGAAUGAAAAUAGAAAUCAAUGAUAAGAAUAGAAGUUACUCCAAAAGAUGGAGACUAAAUAAUAUUCUACUGAAUGAACAAUGGAUUGUAGAAGACAUCAAGGAGAAGAUUUAAAAAUUCUUAGAGGUAAGUGAGAACACAGACACAACAUCAAAAUCCUGGGGACACUAUGAGAGUAGUACUAAGAGGAAAAAUUAUUGCAUGGAGUUCAUUCCUUAAGAAAAACCCAACAAAUAAAUUACCUCACACUACAUCUCAAAACCCUAGAAAACAAAGAGCAAAUCAGCAGAAAAAAGCAGAAGGCAAGAAAUUAUUAAAAUCAGAGCCGAAAUCAAUGAAAAUGAAACAAAAGAAACAAUUGAAAAAUUGACAAAACUAGAAGUUGGUUGUUUGAAAAAAUAAAUAAAAUUGACAGACCCAUAGCCAUGCAAACGAAGAGAAGGAGAGAACUCAAAUUACCAGCAUCAUAAUGAAAAAGGCAAUAUCACACAGACACUAGAGAAAUACAGAGGAUAAUUAGAAAUCAUCUUGAAACCUUGUACUCUAAUAAAAUAGAGGACAGUGAAGGCAUUGAUAAAUUCCUAAAGUCAUAUGGCCUGCCCAGAUUGAGUCAGGAAGACAUACACAACUUCAACAGACCAAUAUCAAGUGAGGAAAAAGAAGAAGCCAUCAGAAGAUUGAUAACCAAGAAAAGCCCAGGACCAGAGGGAUAUACAGCCGAAUUUUACAAGACCUAUAAAGAGGAACUAAUACCAAUACUCUUCAAUUUAAUUCAGGAAAUAGAAAAAGAGGGAGUACUUCCAAGCUCAUUCUAUGAGUCCAUAUCACCCUGAAUCCAAAACCAGACAAAGACACCUCAAAGAAGGAAACUUCAGGCCAAUAUCUGUAAUGAUCAUAGAUGCAAAAAAUCCUCAAUAAAAUUCUGGCAAAUCAAAUACAAAAACGUAUCAAAACCAUUGUGCACCACGAUCAAGUGGGAUUCAUCCCAGAGAUGCAAGGUUGGUUCAACAUACAGAAAUCAAUAAGUGUAAUUCAUCACAUCAAUAGACUUAAAGAUAAGAAUCACAUGAUCAUCUCAACAGAUGCAGAAAAAGCAUUUGACAAAAUACAGCACCCCUUCAUGUUCAAAACACUAGAAAAAAUAGGGAUAACAGGAACAUAUCAACAUCAUAAAGGCUAUCUAUGCUAAGCCCCAGGCCAACAUCAUUCUAAAUGGAGAAAAACUGAAGGUAUUCCCUCUAAAAUCUGAACAAGACAGGCAUGCCCUCUCUCACACUUCUAUUCAACAUAGUUCUUGAAACACUGGCCAGGGAAAUUAGACAGAUGAAAGAAAUUAAAGGAAUAACUAUAGGAAAAGAAGAACUUAAACUAGCACUAUUUGCUGAUGAUAUGAUUCUAUACCUAGGAGACCCAAGAAACUAUACCAGAAAAUUUCUAGAACUAGUAAGUGAAUUCAUCAAAGUAGCAGGAUAUAAAAUCAACACCAAUAAAUCAAAGGAAUUUCUGUAUAUCAGUGACAAAGCCUCUGAGAAGGAUAUG
rnacentral:lncRNA from 1 species